rnacentral:pre_miRNA from 1 species
UGAACACCUCAAGAGAUACAACGCUGUUAUUGGUAACGGUGUGCCCCUUGAGGUGUUUAGA